rnacentral:rRNA from 1 species
AAAGGGUGCGUAGGCGGCCUGUUAAGUCAGGGGUGAAAGACGGUAGCUCAACUAUCGCAGUGCCCUUGAUACUGAUGGGCUUGAAUUGACUAGAGGUAGGCGGAAUGUGACAAGUAGCGGUGAAAUGCAUAGAUAUGUCACAGAACACCGAUUGCGAAGGCAGCUUACUAUGGUCUUAUUGACGCUGAGGCACGAAAGUGUGGGUAUCAAACAGGAUUAGAUACCCCAGU